CUGCUGCCUUCCGUAGGAGUUUGGGCCGUGUCUCAGUCCCAAUGUGGCCGGUCCACCCUCUCAGGCCGGCUACUGAUCGCUGCCUUGGUGGGCCGUUACCCCGCCAACUAGCUAAUCAGACGCGGAUCCAUCGUAUACCACCGGAGUUUUUCACACUGCCCCAUGCGGAGCCGUGCGCUUAUGCGGUAUUAGCACCUAUUUCUAAGUGUUAUCCCCCGGUAUACGGCAGGUUAUCCACGCGUUACUCACCCGUCCGCCA
rnacentral:rRNA from 1 species